rnacentral:rRNA from 1 species
AUUGAACGCUGGCGGCAGGCCUAACACAUGCAAGUCGAGCGAGCGGCGGACGGGUGAGUAAUGUAUGGGCACUGCCCGAUAGAGGGGGAUAACUACUGGAAACGGUGGCUAAUACCGCAUACUAUUGGAUAACCCAUAUGGGAUUCACUAGUAGGCGGGGUAAAGGCUCACCCAGGCGAGGAUCCCUAGCUGGUCCGAAAGGAUGAUCAGCCACAGUGGGACUCAGACACGGCCCAGACUCAUACGGAGGCAGCAGAGGGGAAUAUGGCACAAUGGGCACAAGCCUGAUACAGCGAUGCCGCGGGUAGGAAGGAGGCCUUAGGGUUGGAAGGUACUGUCAGCGGGGAGGCGGUACCAACAGAAGAAGCACCGGAUAACUCCGUGCCUGCAGCCGCGGUAAUAC